GCACCUGAAUCUUUCCCAUGCCUCACAGAAUAAGUGGAGGCCUGGGGACAUAUGGUGCUAAAGCAAAGCUGAGGAAAUCCAGACAAGUGACUUCUUUCCCUUAGUGAGGGCUUGUCUCUACACCUUCAGCAACACUG